rnacentral:tRNA from 2 species
GGAGAGGUGGUCGAGUGGUCGAAGGCACCGGUCUCGAAAACCGGAGCGGGUUCACGCCCGCCGAGGGUUCGAAUCCCUCCCUCUCCG